ACCGCUCACGAACAUAGGGACACUGUUCGCGAAACUUUCGCGAACAUAUGUCCACAUGUUCUAGAGCG
rfam:Nematostella vectensis strain CH2 x CH6 NEMVEscaffold_322_Cont23767, whole genome shotgun sequence.